UACGUAGGGUGCAAGCGUUGUCCGGAAUUAUUGGGCGUAAAGAGCUCGUAGGCGGUCUGUCGCGUCGGAUGUGAAAACUCGGGGCUCAACCCCGGGCCUGCAUUCGAUACGGGCAGACUAGAGUACGGCAGGGGAGACUGGAAUUCCUGGUGUAGCGGUGAAAUGCGCAGAUAUCAGGAGGAACACCGGUGGCGAAGGCGGGUCUCUGGGCCGAAACUGACGCUGAGGAGCGAAGCGUGGGGAGCAAACAGG
rnacentral:rRNA from 1 species